GCGCGAAGUCAGAGGAAGGCGAGGGCAACGGUAGGUNCAGUAUGCUCCCGAAUGCUAUGGGCUACACGCGCAAUACAAAGGACGGGACAAUGGGCUGCAACUCCGAGAGGAAUGACGCUAUCCCGAAACCCGUUCGUAGUUCGGAUUGAGGGCUGUAACUCGCCCUCAUGAAGCUGGAUUAGGUAGUAAUCGCGUCUCAAAAAGGCGCGGUGAAUAUGCCCCUGCUCCUUGCACACACCGCCCGUCAAACCAUCUUAGUUGUGGGUGGGUGAGGCUGCCCCUCUUUCGAGAUGUGGUAUUCGAGCCUGCCUUCGACAAGGAGGGUUAAGUCGUAACAAGGUA
rnacentral:rRNA from 1 species